rfam:Schistosoma haematobium scaffold67_38, whole genome shotgun sequence.
ACCUUGCUGACGAGUUCCAAGUAGCACGAAACUCGGGUCCAGGGU